rnacentral:rRNA from 1 species
GAAAGUGCUGCUAAUACCUGAUGAUACCUCCGCGUCGCUUGGCGUGGAGAUCAAAGGUGGGGACCGCAAGGCCUACCGGUCUGGGAGCGGCCCAUGUCCUAUCAGCUUGUUGGUGAGGUAACGGCUCACCAUGGCGCCGACGGGUAGCGGGACUGAGAGGUUGGCCCGCCACAUCGGGACUGAGACACUGCCCGGACACCUACGGGUGGCUGCAGUAACGAAUAUGGGGCAAUGGGCGCAACCUUGACCCAGCAAUGCCCGCGUGCAGGAGAAAGCCCCUUCGGGGUGUAAACUGCUGUCAGGGUGUUCGCAAGCAAUUGGACGUAAAUAGCGUCCGGCGUUGGAGCAGCCCCAGAGGAAGCCUCGACUAAACUCUUGUGCCUGCAGUCCGCGGAAAUACAGAGGAGGCAAGCGUUGUUCGAAAUCACCUGGGCUUAAAGAGGGUGUAAGGCGGCUUGGCAAGUGUCCUGUGAAAGCCCACGGUUCACCCGGUGGAAUUUGCCGGGAAAACUGCCUGGGCUUGAGUUCGGGAGAAGGUGCCUUGGAACUCUCGCUGGAGCGGUGAAAUGCGUAGAUAUCGAGAAGAAUUGCCGGAGGCAAAACGCGGGGCACUGGGCCGACACUGACUGUUAAGACCCGAAAGCGUGGGGGAGCAAACGGUGUUAAGAUACCCCUGGUAGUUCCACGGCCGGUAAACGGAUGGCCCACUAACACUGUCGGAGGGUUUCUGACCCCCAUUCGGCGUUCGGAGCCAAAAGUUACUAAGUGUCCCGCCUGGCGAAUAACGGCCCGCAAGGCUAAAACGUCAAAAGGAAUUGACGGGGGCUCACCACAAAGCGGUGGAGCAUGUGGGCUAAAUUCGAAGGCAACCGCGAAGAACCUUACCCGGGUUUGACAUGCUUGGAUGCUCUCUGGGGAUAACUCAGAGUUUGCUGCCCUUCGGGGUGAAACUUGCACAGGUGUUGCAUGGCUGUCGUCAGCUCGUGCUGUGAAGUGUCGGGUUAAGUCCCUUAACGAGCGAAACCCCUAUCGCUAGUUGCCAGCGGGUCAUGCCGGGGACUCUAGCGAGACUGCCGGCGUUAAGCCGGAGGAAGGUGGGGACGACGGUCAAGCCAUCAUGGCCUUUAUGCCCGGGGAUGCACACGUGCUACAAUGGCGUGUACAGAGCGACGCGAGGCCGCGAGGUGGAGCAAAUCGCAAAAAGCACGCCCCAGUUCGGAUUGGAGUCUGCAAUUCGACUCCAUGAAGUUGGAAUCGCUAGUAAUCGCGCAUCAGCUACGGCGCGGUGUAAUGUGUUCCUGAGCCUUGUACACACCGCCCGUCAAGUCAUGGAAGCUGGUAGUACCCGAAGUCCGCUUAGCUAACCUU